rnacentral:tRNA from 1 species
GGGGAUGUAGCUCAGUGGUAGAGCACUUGGCUAGCAUGGGCAAAGCCCCGGGUUCCAUCCCCA